GGCAAUAUUCAAACCAGUAAAGUCAGACAGUAGGAAUAGAAAGGGGCAGGAAACCAUAGGAUCUAUCCCUUCCUUCUGAAACAUCAUGACCACACACCAUGCAGGCUGAAGGAUCCCUCUUGUUGCCAGAAGGACAAGGCCACAGAGUGAGGGUUCCUUUCUUCUUGUCUUGGGGCAUCUGAGAUCCUUCCUGUCCUCUAGGCACAGAGACCUUUUUUGGGGGAGAGCUGCAUAAACACCCUGGUCUAAGUCAGGGUGAUAAGUGCAUCAGAAGAGCUUAAAACUCAGUCCUGAGAGGAUAAAGGAGGGCACCUUAUGAAGCUGAGCCCCAUGUCAGCAGGGCACCAAGACAGACUCUAAGGAGAGGCCUUCUGACCUGAGAGUUCGUGGAGCCCUGGAGCGGAGGUGACAAAGAGCUCCAGCAAGAAAGGUGAGAUCUGGGAUGCUGCUCUGAGAUCCCUUCUCCCUCCAGCCUACUUGGGCCCAGUCGCCGGGAUAGUGGCCUCGCCCUCCCCUCCCUGUGCCACCAUGAGCUCCAGCAAGGAAGCACCAUCUUCCUAUCACAGAACAUCUGCCCUCCAAGGACUCUCAAGUAGCCAAGAACUUCAAGAACAAAACAAAACUGAAUAUAGUGCCUGUUUAUACUGAAAAAGAAGCCAUCAAGUGGAAGGAAGCUUAAUAGCCAAGAAAGGUGAAAUAAAGGUGAAGAUUCUACCCUUUCCAGACCAAAAGAUUUUCAUGUUAUAGCAUGGCAGUUCAAAGCAACUGCUGGCUGAUCAAAAUGGUGAUUGUAAACUGGUAUGGUGGCUCACACCUAUAAUCCCAACAUUCUGGGAGGCUUGGCAGGAGGACUGCAUGUUUUGUCUCAGUUUGUGCAGCUUAGUGAUUUACCAAGACCCUGUCUCAAAAUUAAAAAAAGAAAACAACAACAA
rnacentral:lncRNA from 1 species